CCUACUUGGAUAACUGUGGCAAUUCUAGAGCUAAUACAUGCAAUAAAGCUCCGCCCGCAAGGAACGAGCGCAUUUAUUAGAAUAAAAACCAAUCGGGUUUCGGCCCGUAAUUUGGUGAAUCUGAAUAACUUUGCCAAUCGCACAGUCCUAGUACUGGCGAUGUAUCUUUCAAGUGUCUGCCUUAUCAACUUUCGAUGGUACGCUAUACGCCUACCAUGGUAGUAACGGGUAACGGAGAAUAAGGGUUCGACUCCGGAGAGGGAGCCUGAGAAACGGCUACCACAUCCAAGGAAGGCAGCAGGCGCGCAAAUUACCCACUUCCAGAACGGAGAGGUAGUGACGAAAAAUAACGAGACAGUCCUCUUCGAGGUCUGUCAUCGGAAUGGGUACAAUUUAAAUCCUUUAACGAGGAUCUAUUGGAGGGCAAGUCUGGUGCCAGCAGCCGCGGUAAUUCCAGCUCCAAUAGCGUAUAUUAAAGUUGUUGCGGUUAAAACGCUCGUAGUUGGAUUUGCGGCCUCGAAGAACGGUCCCCCGAAAGGGCGGUCACUGUCUCUUCUAGCCUAAAUUCGAGUCGUCUCUAGGUGCUCUUAAUCGAGUGUCUAGAGUGACUAGAACGUUUACUUUGAAAAAAUUAGAGUGCUUAAAGCAGACGAAAUAGUCUGAAUAAGGUGCAUGGAAUAAUGGAAUAGGACCUCGGUUCUAUUUUGUUGGUUUUCGGAGCCCGAGGUAAUGAUUAAGAGGAACGGACGGGGGCAUUCGUA
rnacentral:rRNA from 1 species